rnacentral:tRNA from 1 species
CCUUCGAUAGCUCAGUUGGUAGAGCGGUGGACUGUAGCGAAAGUUAGGAGAAGUUGCGAUCAUGCGAUCAAAACACUCCGAUCAUUGUAGAAAUCCAUAGGUCACUGGUUCAAAUCCGGUUCGAAGGA